rnacentral:rRNA from 1 species
GGGCCCGCACAAGCGUGGAGUAUGUGGUUAAUUCGAUGCAACGCGAAGAAGUCCAUUACCAGGGUUUGAACAAUCCUGCGAAUCUCGUGAAACAGGAGAGUGCCUCGGGAAGAUGAGGCAGGUGGUGCAUGGCUUGCUCGUCAGGCUGUGUCGGAGAUGUUGGGGUUAAAGUCCCCGCAACGAGCGAACCCACGUCUUUAGUUGCCAGCAUUUAGUGGGCACUCUAGAGGACUCCGGUGAUAAACCGGAGAAGGUGUGGAUGACGUCAAGUCAUCAUGCCCCUUACAUCUGGGCUACACACGUACUACAAUGCUACGGACAAAGGGCAGCAAUCGCGAGGACUAACAAAAUCCCAAUAAAACGUGGCUC